CCUACGGGAGGCAGCAGUAGGGAAUUUUCGGCAAUGGGGGGAACCCUGACCGAGCAACGCCGCGUGAACGAAGAAGUUAUUCGUAAUGUAAAGUUCUUUUAACAGGGAAGAAAGCUAAAUUGGACGGUACCUGCCGAAUAAGCUCCGGCUAACUACGUGCCAGCAGCCGCGGUAAUACGUAGGGAGCGAUCGUUAUCCGGAAUUAUUGGGCGAAAAGGGUGCGUAGAUGGCAUAGUAAGUCUUUUGUAAAAAUGCUGGGCUCAACCCAGUAGGGCAAAAGAUACUGCAAAGCUAGAGUAUGACAGAGGCAAGUGGAAAUACAUGUGUAGCGGUAGAAUGCGUAAAUAUAUGUAAGAACACCAGUGGCGAAGGCGACUUGCUGGGUCGAGACUGACAUUGAGGCACGAAAGCGUGGGGAGCAAACAGGAUUAGAUACCCUUGUAGUC
rnacentral:rRNA from 1 species